rnacentral:rRNA from 1 species
CAGUAGCCGCGGGAAUACGUAGGUGGCAAGCGUUGUCCGGAAUUACUGGGCGUAAAGCGUGCGUAGGUGGUGGUUUAAGUCCGUCGUGAAAGCCCUGGGCUCAACCUGGGAAUUGCAGUGGAUACUGGGUCACUAGAGUGUGGUAGAGGAUAGUGGAAUUUCCGGUGUAGCAGUGAAAUGCGUAGAGAUCGGAAGGAACAUCUGUGGCGAAGGCGACUAUCUGGGCCAACACUGUCACUGAGGCACGAAAGCGUGGGGAGCAAACAGGAUUAGAUACCCCUGUAGUCCCUGUCUCUUAUAC